rnacentral:rRNA from 1 species
GGGGGCUAAGAUAUUGUAAGAAUACAUUAUUUGAAGGUACCAUAAGAAUAAGCCACGGCUAACUACGUGCCAGCAGCCGCGGUAAUACGUAGGUGGCAAGCGUUGUCCGGAUUUACUGGGUUUAAAGGGUGCGUAGGCGGGUAUGUAAGUCAGUGGUGAAAUUCGGUUGCUUAACAAUACGAGUGCCAUUGAUUGUGUAUCUAGAGUUAAGUUAAGGUAUGUGGAACGACUGGUGUAGCGGUGAAUGCAUAGAUAUCAGUCAGAACACCGAUUGCGAAGGCAGCGUACUGGGCGUUUAACUUGACGCUGAGGCACGAAAGUAGCGGGUAUCAAACAGGAUUAGAUACCCUGGUAGUCCGCACUGUAAACGUUGGAUACUAGCUGUUGGAGCAUUGCGGCUUCAGCGGUCAAGCGCAAGUGAUAAGUAUCCCACCUGGGGAGUACGCUCGCAAGGGUG